AUUGAACGCUGGCGGCGUGCCUAACACAUGCAAGUCGAGCGGUAACAGGUGUAGCAAUACAUGCUGACGAGCGGCGGACGGGUGAGUAACGCUUGGGAAUCUGCCUAUUAGUGGGGGACAACCCGGGGAAACUCGGGCUAAUACCGCAUACGCACUACGGUGGAAAGCCGGGGACCGCAAGGCCUGGCGCUAACAGAUGAGCCCAAGUCGGAUUAGCUAGUUGGUAGGGUAACGGCCACCAAGGCGACGAUCCGUAAACUGGUCUGAGAGGACGACCAGUCACACCGGAACUGAGACACGGUCCGGACUCCUACGGGAGGCAGCAGGUGGGGAAUAUUGGACAAUGGGCGAAAGCCUGAUCCAGCGACG
rnacentral:rRNA from 1 species